AAGAGAAUAGUAUAAUUGGUAAUGCAGUUGACUUCAAAUCUUCUAUUGGUAGUUCAAAUCUGCCUUCUCUUG
rnacentral:tRNA from 1 species